rnacentral:lncRNA from 1 species
AGAGAUCGUGCGCGCGGUGUGGGGAACCUUUUGUCCCAAGUUUGAAUCCACCCGCCACACCUCCGCACGUUGAAGAAGCUAGAUUCUCCACAGUUAUUUUGAGUAUCAGAUGCAUAGGUUUGCGCCAUCGGAUUUGAGGCCCUGUUUGGGAAGGGCGUGUUAAAAUUUAACAGGGUGUUAAACUUUAACACCCUCAAAUAAAGGUGUUAAACUUUAGUAUCUUGAGGUGUUUGGAUGAUCUGUUAAAAUUUAACACCUUAGGUUGUAAUUGACAACUUUACCCCUCAUUACUCCUCUCAAUGGCAGCCAAAUACCCCUUCUUCCUUCUUCUCCUUCCUCCUCCUUCCUUCUUCCUCCUUUCCUGCGCCUGCCGCCUCCGGCCCCACCCCUGCUCGGUCCACGCCGUGCCCGGCGCCAACGUCGGCGUCGGCGCUGCCGGCCGCCCCGUCGGCCCCUCCCCUGCGCAUGCCGCCUCCGGCCCCGCCCCGCCGCCGGCGUCCCCUACCGCGGCGCUAGCGGCCGCGCCCGCCCGAGCCCCCAACGCCACCACCGCGCCCGCCCGAGCCCCCACCGCCACCACCUGCGCCGCCCGCCGGUCCCCACACCACCGGAUCGGCCUCGCCCGCGCCCGCACCCGCCGGCCGCGCCAGCCGCCGCCCACGCGAGGCCGCCCGCGCUGGCCGCCGCCUGCCGCCCGCGCGAGCCCGCCGCGUGCUGCCCAGCGUGGCAUCCCGACGCAGGAGCGGCGCGGACCGGCGGUGGCGCACGAUGGGCGGACCAGCGGCGGCGCGACGGGCGGACUGGCGGCGGUGCGCGACGUGCGGAUCGGGGAAGGAAGAUGGGGGCAGUGGAGGAGAGAGAAGAGGAGAGAGAGGGGGGCAACCAGGGAAUAAGUGGGGAGGGGGACCACUUUUAACACCUUUAGCACAUUUUAACACCCCCUCCAUGUGUUUAUGAAAAGAGGGGUGUUAAAUUUUAACACUUCAUCUUUAACACUUGUGUUUGGCAACCAAAAGUGUUAAAAUCUGUUAAAAAGGGGGUGUUAAACUUUAACACCCCCUUCCCAAACAGGCCCUGAGUAACACGGAAAUGCACGAAUUCACACGAAUGCACACGGAAACGUAGAUCUACAACGAAUUCAUUCUAAACCUCACUAGAUCAAGAACAACGCAAAACCAAGAAUUACAGUGUUGUUCCCUCCCCGUUCUCGCAGUAUCGGUC